rnacentral:rRNA from 1 species
CCUACGGGAGGCAGCAGUGAGGAAUAUUGGUCAAUGGGCGCGAGCCUGAACCAGCCAAGUCGCGUGCAGGAUGACUGCCCUACGGGUUGUAAACUUCUUUUGUACAGGGAUAAAGUCAGGCACGCGUGCCUUUUUGUAUGUACCUUAUGAAUAAGGAUCGGCUAACUCCGUGCCAGCAGCCGCGGUAAUACGGAGGAUCCGAGCGUUAUCCGGAUUUAUUGGGUUUAAAGGGAGCGUAGAUGGGUGGUUAAGUCAGUUGUGAAAGUGUGCGGCUCAACCGUGAAAUUGCAAUUGAUACUGUCAGGCUAGAGGACAGUUGAGGUAGGCGGAAUGCGUGGUGUAGCGGUGAAAUGCUUAGAGAUCACGAAGAACUCCGAUUGCGAAGGCAGCUUACUAAGCUGCCACUGACAUUGAGGCUCGAAAGUGUGGGUAUCAAACAGGAUUAGAUACCCGAGUAGUC